UGCUCGUUCUCACCGAAACCACUAUUGGGUCUUCACGCCGUCGAACCCACUUCUCGCGGGCUCGCCAACCAAAUCCUCGCCGCAGAUGGGUUUUGGGACAGCAAAAACAAUCAGAAUUUGAGGAAGAUGUGAAAACCUUGCUAAAUCACGAUUUAGAAAUAUCUGAAGAAUAAUCUGAAGAUGAUCGUCUCGGUUGGUUGAAUGAUUAACCCACACGUUUUAAGAUGGAUCAAAAAUAAAUUUAAACAUGGCAUAUUA